CAGCAGUCAGGCGGCGAGUGAUAAAAUCCGUCGUCAAGAGGGAAACAACCCAGACUACCAGCUAAGGUCCCUAAAUCUUACUUAAGUGGAAAACGAUGUGAAGUUACUUAAACAACCAGGAGGUUGGCUUAGAAGCAGCCAUCCUUUAAAGAAAGCGUAAUAGCUCACUGGUCUAGUGAUUUUGCGCGGAAAAUAUAACGGGGCUAAAGUAAGUACCGAAGCUGUAGACUUGCGCACAACUUAGAUUAUUUAAGUUUAGAAUAUGAGAAACUAAGUUAUGUUUAGUUAUAUUUUUACUGAUUUUUAUAGAGUAAAGAUAGAAAUAAAACUUAGUAAAAUCAGUAAAAAUAUUCUUAGGCUAAAGUUAAGUAGUUUAAGUUGUGUGCAAGUGGUAGGAGAGCGUUCUAUUUGCGUCGAAGGUAUACCGGUAAGGAGUGCUGGAGCGAAUAGAAGUGAGCAUGCAGGCAUGAGUAGCGAUAAUUAAUGUGAGAAUCAUUAACGCCGUAAACCCAAGGUUUCCUACGCGAUGCUCGUCAUCGUAGGGUUAGUCGGGUCCUAAGUCGAGUCCGAAAGGGGUAGACGAUGGCAAAUUGGUUAAUAUUCCAAUACCAACAUUAGUGUGCGAUGGAAGGACGCUUAGGGCUAAGGGGGCUAGCGGAUGGAAGUGCUAGUCUAAGGUCGUAGGAGGUUGUACAGGCAAAUCCGUAUAACAAUACUCCGAGAACUGAAAGGCUUUUUGAAGUCUUCGGAUGGAUAGAAGAACCCCUGAUGCUGUCGAGCCAAGAAAAGUUUCUAAGUUUAGCUAAUGUUGCCCGUACCGUAAACCGACACAGGUGGGUGGGAUGAGUAUUCUAAGGCGCGUGGAAGAACUCUCUUUAAGGAACUCUGCAAAAUAGCACCGUAUCUUCGGUAUAAGGUGUGGUUAGCUUUGUAUUAGGAUUUACUCCGAAAGCAAGGAAACUUACAACAAAGAGUCCCUCCCGACUGUUUACCAAAAACACAGCACUCUGCUAACUCGUAAGAGGAUGUAUAGGGUGUGACGCCUGCCCGGUGCUCGAAGGUUAAUUGAUGGGGUUAGCAUUAGCGAAGCUCUUGAUCGAAGCCCGAGUAAACGGCGGCCGUAACUAUAACGGUCCUAAGGUAGCGAAAUUCCUUGUCGGUUAAAUACCGACCUGCAUGAAUGGCGUAACGAGAUGGGAGCUGUCUCAAAGAGGGAUCCAGUGAAAUUGUAGUGGAGGUGAAAAUUCCUCCUACCCGCGGCAAGACGGAAAGACCCCGUGGACCUUUACUACAGCUUGACACUGCUACUUGGAUAAGAAUGUGCAGGAUAGGUGGGAGGCUUUGAGUAUAUGACGCCAGUUGUAUAUGAGCCAUUGUUGAGAUACCACUCUUUCUUAUUUGGGUAGCUAACCAGCUUGAGUUAUCCUCAAGUGGGACAAUGUCUGGUGGGUAGUUUGACUGGGGCGGUCGCCUCCCAAAUAAUAACGGAGGCUUACAAAGGUUGGCUCAGAACGGUUGGAAAUCGUUCGUAGAGUAUAAAGGUAUAAGCCAGCUUAACUGCAAGACAUACAAGUCAAGCAGAGACGAAAGUCGGUCUUAGUGAUCCGGUGGUUCUGUGUGGAAGGGCCAUCGCUCAAAGGAUAAAAGGUACCCCGGGGAUAACAGGCUGAUCUCCCCCAAGAGCUCACAUCGACGGGGAGGUUUGGCACCUCGAUGUCGGCUCAUCGCAUCCUGGGGCUGGAGCAGGUCCCAAGGGUAUGGCUGUUCGCCAUUUAAAGCGGUACGCGAGCUGGGUUCAGAACGUCGUGAGACAGUUCGGUCCCUAUCUGCCGUGGGCGUAAGAAGAUUGAAGAGAUUUGACCCUAGUACGAGAGGACCGGGUUGAACAAACCACUGGUGUAGCUGUUGUUCUGCCAAGAGCAUCGCAGCGUAGCUAAGUUUGGAAAGGAUAAACGCUGAAAGCAUCUAAGCGUGAAGCCAACUCUAAGAUGAAUCUUCUCUAAGCUCUCUAGAAGACUACUAGUUUGAUAGGCUGGGUGUGUAAUGGAUGAAAGUCCUUUAGCUGACCAGUACUAAUAGAGCGUUUGGCUUAUCUUUAAUAAAGCAU
rnacentral:rRNA from 1 species